rnacentral:rRNA from 3 species
UGAGAGUUUGAUCCUGGCUCAGGAUGAACGCUGGCGGAGUGCCUUAGGCAUGCAAGUGGAAUGUCGAUAAUCCCGCAAGGGAUGAUCGGCAUCGCAGACGGGUGAGUACAGCGUAGGAAUUUGCCCAAUGGUGGGGAAUAACUCGCCGAAAGGCGGGCUAAUACCGCAUAAGAUCGCAAGAUGAAAGGCCGUAACUGGCCGCCGAUGGAGAAGCCUACGUCCUAUCAGCUAGUUGGUGGGGUAAAAGCCUACCAAGGCUAUGACGGGUAGCUGGACUGAGAGGUUGGUCAGCCACAAUAGCACUGAGACACGGGCUAUACAUCUACGGAUGGCAGCAACCGGGAAUAUUGCGCAAUGGACGAAAGUCUGACGCAGCGACUCCGCGUGAGGGAUGACGGCCUUCGGGUCUUAAACCUCUUUUGUCCCGCUAUACGGCGGGGAGAAUAAGCACCUGCUAACCACGUGCCAGCAGCCGCGGUAAUACGUGGGGUGCAAGCGUUAUCCGGAUUUACUGGGCGUAAAGAGUUCGUAGGCGUUUUGCCAAGUUUUGUUUGAAAGACCGAGGCUCAACUUCGGAAACGGACGAAAUACUGGCAGAAUCGAGUUAGUUAGGGGGUACUGGAACUAUCAGUGUAGCAGUGAAAUGCGUUGAUAUUGACAGGAACACCAAGGGCGAAGGCAGGUACCUGGGACUUAACUGACGCUGAGGAACGAAAGCUAGGGGAGCGAAACGGAUUAGAGACCCGUGUAGUCCUAGCCGUAAACUAUGUACGCUUGAUCCUUGAUUUCCGCCUUUGGCGGAGCUGGGGGUUGGAGCUAACGCGUGAAGCGUACCGCCUGGGGAGUACGACCGCAAGGUUAAAACUCAAAGGAAUUGACGGGGAAGUGCACAACCAGGGGAGCAUGUGGUUCAAUUCGAUACGAAGCGAAGGACCUUACCCAGACUUGACAUCUCGAAGUUCUACUUUGCAGAAAUGCGAAGGAGUCCGUAAGGAGAUCGAGACAGCUGCUGCAUGGCUGUCGUCAGCUCGUGCCGUGGGGUGUCGACUUAAGUGUCGAAACGAGCGCAACCCUUAUCGCAUGUUCAAUAGUCUUGCGAAACUGCCUUGCGUAUAGCGGGGAGGAAGGAGGGGAUGACGUCAAGUCAGCAUGGCGCUUAUGUCUGGGGCCACACACAUCCUACAAUGGGGAGUAACAACGGGUUGCCAAGCCGCAAGGCGGAGCUAAUCCCAUCAAACCUCCCCCCAGUUCAGAUUGAGGGCUGCAACUCGCCCUCAUGAAGACGGACUUGGUAGUAAUCGCGGAUCAGCAGGCCGCGGUGAAUACGUUCUCACUUCUUGUACACACCGCCCAUCAAGCCAGCAAAGUCGGCAAUACCUGAAACUCUGGGUUUCCCGGGGCAAGGGUAGGGUCGGCGAUGAGGGCUAAGUUGUAAAUUGUUGCAACUUGCAGGAGUAAUUCUGCAAACAAAUCUCGCUGUAUCGGUGGAGCCUAAAUUGAUUUCGGGUAUAUUUCGGUAUACACUUAAUUGACAUGGGAAUACCGAGGGAACCCUUCGGCUUCGCUCAGGGCAAGCCGCUGGGACGCCGUAGAGACUACACGCGAGCGCCGGUAACAAAGGCAUAUUUAAUGGGUAUUAUUCAUGACGCAACCGAGAGAAAGUUAACUUUCCGUAUUGCCCAGAAAAGUGAAGAAUUUCUUCGCUAUUUGAGCAGGGAAUUGGCGCUAUCGGAUAUCAAAUCCUGGAUUUAUAAGGAAGGGAAAACCAGGCAAGUUUGGAUUUUGGAAUUUUCCAAAAAACAUUUGACCGGAAUAAAGAUUAAAUCCAGAAAAGAUAAAGUUGAUUAUCUGAGGGGUUAUUUUGACGCGGAAGGCGGAAUUGCCAGAAAUCCUAAUGUAAGGUUUUACCUGUAUUAUUGUCAAAAGAAUUUUGAUGAAAUGGUGCAGGUGAAAACAAUGCUGGAGGAUAUCGGGAUAAGUUGCGGGAAGAUUCAUAACCCAAACAGGAUAAAAGACCCGGAUUUUUAUAGAUUUUAUAUCAGAGCAAAAUCUUAUACGGAUUUUGCCCGAAAAAUUGGGUCGUUGCAUCCUGAAAAGAUGUCUUUGUUGAGGAUGAAGAUAUAGUCCAAGCCCCGAUGAAAAUCGGGGAGCACCUUGAACAAGGUAUCCCUAGCCGAAGCUGGGGAUGGAUCACCUCCUU